AUUGAACGCUGGCGGCAUGCUUUACACAUGCAAGUCGAACGGCAGCGCGGGCUUCGGCCUGGCGGCGAGUGGCGAACGGGUGAGUAAUGCAUCGGAACGUGCCCAGUAGUGGGGGAUAGCCCGGCGAAAGCCGGAUUAAUACCGCAUACGACCUGAGGGUGAAAGCGGGGGACCGAAAGGCCUCGCGCUAUUGGAGCGGCCGAUGUCGGAUUAGCUAGUUGGUGGGGUAAAGGCUUACCAAGGCGACGAUCCGUAGCUGGUCUGAGAGGACGACCAGCCACACUGGGACUGAGACACGGCCCAGACUCCUACGGGAGGCAGCAGGGGGGAAUUUUGGACAAUGGGGGCAACCCUGAUCCAGCCAUGCCGCGUGCGGGAAGAAGGCCUUCGGGUUGUAAACCGCUUUUGUUCGGGAAGAAAUCCUCUGGGCUAAUACCCCGGGGGGAGGACGGUACCGGAAGAAUAAGCACCGGCUAACUACGU
rnacentral:rRNA from 1 species